rnacentral:rRNA from 1 species
GAUGAACGCUGGCGGCGUGCCUAAUACAUGCAAGUCGAGCGAACGGACGAGAAGCUUGCUUCUCUGAUGUUAGCGGCGGACGGGUGAGUAACACGUGGAUAACCUACCUAUAAGACUGGGAUAACUUCGGGAAACCGGAGCUAAUACCGGAUAAUAUUUUGAACCGCAUGGUUCAAAAGUGAAAGACGGUCUUGCUGUCACUUAUAGAUGGAUCCGCGCUGCAUUAGCUAGUUGGUAAGGUAACGGCUUACCAAGGCAACGAUGCAUAGCCGACCCGAGAGGGUGAUCGGCCACACUGGAACUGAGACACGGUCCAGACUCCUACGGGAGGCAGCAGUAGGGAACCUUCCGCAAUGGGCGAAAGCCUGACGGAGCAACGCCGCGUGAGUGAUGAAGGUCUUCGGAUCGUAAAACUCUGUUAUUAGGGAAGAACAUAUGUGUAAGUAACUGUGCACAUCUUGACGGUACCUAAUCAGAAAGCCACGGCUAACUACGUG